GCCGUAACUAUAACGGUCCUAAGGUAGCGAAAUUCCUUGUCGGGUAAGUUCCGACCUGCACGAAUGGCGUAAUGAUGGCCAGGCUGUCUCCACCCGAGACUCAGUGAAAUUGAACUCGCUGUGAAGAUGCAGUGUACCCGCGGCAAGACGGAAAGACCCCGUGAACCUUUACUAUAGCUUGACACUGAACAUUGAGCCUUGAUGUGUAGGAUAGGUGGGAGGCUUUGAAGCGUGGACGCCAGUCUGCGUGGAGCCAACCUUGAAAUACCACCCUUUAAUGUUUGAUGUUCUAACGUUGGCCCCUUACCGGGGUUGCGGACAGUGUCUGGUGGGUAGUUUGACUGGGGCGGUCUCCUCCCAAAGCGUAACGGAGGAGCACGAAGGUUAGCUAAUCCUGGUCGGACAUCAGGAGGUUAGUGCAAUGGCAUAAGCUAGCUUGACUGCGAGCGUGACGGCGCGAGCAGGUGCGAAAGCAGGUCAUAGUGAUCCGGUGGUUCUGAAUGGAAGGGCCAUCGCUCAACGGAUAAAAGGUACUCCGGGGAUAACAGGCUGAUACCGCCCAAGAGUUCAUAUCGACGGCGGUGUUUGGCACCUCGAUGUCGGCUCAUCACAUCCUGGGGCUGAAGUAGGUCCCAAGGGUAUGGCUGUUCGCCAUUUAAAGUGGUACGCGAGCUGGGUUUAGAACGUCGUGAGACAGUUCGGUCCCUAUCUGCCGUGGGCGCUGGAGAAUUGAGGGGGGCUGCUCCUAGUACGAGAGGACCGGAGUGGACGCAUCACUGGUGUUCGGGUUGUCAUGCCAAUGGCACUGCCCGGUAGCUAAAUGCGGAAGAGAUAAGUGCUGAAAGCAUCUAAGCACGAAACUUGCCCCGAGAUGAGUUCUCCCUGAGACUU
rnacentral:rRNA from 1 species